UGGGGAAUAUUGGACAAUGGGCGAAAGCCUGAUCCAGCCAUGCCGCGUGAGUGAUGAAGGCCCUAGGGUUGUAAAGCUCUUUUGUGCGGGAAGAUAAUGACGGUACCGCAAGAAUAAGCCCCGGCUAACUUCGUGCCAGCAGCCGCGGUAAUACGAAGGGGGCUAGCGUUGCUCGGAAUCACUGGGCGUAAAGGGUGCGUAGGCGGGUCUUUAAGUCAGGGGUGAAAUCCUGGAGCUCAACUCCAGAACUGCCUUUGAUACUGAAGAUCUUGAGUUCGGGAGAGGUGAGUGGAACUGCGAGUGUAGAGGUGAAAUUCGUAGAUAUUCGCAAGAACACCAGUGGCGAAGGCGGCUCACUGGACCGAUACUGACGCUGAGGCACGAAAGCGUGGGGAGCAAACAGG
rnacentral:rRNA from 1 species